GGACCCCUGUGAUGUCCAGCACUGGGCUCUGACCACUCUUUGGGGACAAGGUGCCCCCCCAGGACCUUUGACACCUGGGGGUCUGAGGGGUCC
rnacentral:snoRNA from 1 species